rnacentral:rRNA from 1 species
AUAUCAAUAAGCGGAGGAAAAGAAACUAACAAGGAUUCCCCUAGUAACGGCGAGUGAAGCGGGAAGAGCUCAAAUUUGAAAUCUGGUGGCCCCAGGUCAUCCGAGUUGUAAUCUAUAGAAGUGUUUUCCGUGCUGGCUCAUGUACAAGUCCCUUGGAACAGGGCGUCAUAGAGGGUGAGAAUCCCGUCCUUGACAUGAACUACCAGUGCUCUGUGAUACAUUUUCAACGAGUCGAGUUGUUUGGGAAUGCAGCUCAAAAUGGGUGGUAAAUUCCAUCUAAAGCUAAAUAUUGGCGAGAGACCGAUAGCGAACAAGUACCGUGAGGGAAAGAUGAAAAGCACUUUGGAAAGAGAGUUAAACAGUAU